UCGCCUCCUAAAUAAAAUCUGGGGUAAGGACCAUGCUAAAACAUGAGGAAAAAUGGGGACUAAAUCUCAGCUUUUUGAAGUUUAGGGACUUGUUGAAAACCCGACCUCAACUUGGAGCACCAAAAGAAUAAUUAACCCGUAUUUUUAGCUUAUGAUCCAAGUGCUCUAAACUUUAUUUCAUUUCUAACUAUUAACUAAUUGAUUCUUCAAAUCC
rnacentral:lncRNA from 1 species